CUUUGGCUGAUAAGAAAAAGAAAGACGUGUAAAGAUACUCUCCAUGUGUUUAAAGAUGCCAGAACCAACUGAUGCGAUGAUAACCACGCCAUUUUACCAGCAACAGCAGUAUGAAGUAUCCAAGUUCCUGAAGAUCAAGCCGUUGGUUUUGGGGAUUUUGGAAAUAUUGAUAGCCUUAUUGGGACUCGGUUUGACUAUCUGGAAUGAGAGUUUUUUCGUUAUCUGGUCACCAAUCAUUUUCAUCAUAAUUGGAGCUAUAACAGUCUCGGCUGCACACACACGUACACCGCGUCUGGUCAAAACCUCUCAAAUGCUCAGCUAUGCAAAUUUUGCAGUAGUUGUUUUCUCCCUCCGCGCUCACUUUAUUUACAUUCGGGUUACUCCAGAUGUGUCCUUCUAUGUCCUUUUCAUCUGUGAUAUUCUGAUCUUCAUCUUCUCUCUUGCUGUUGCUGUAACCUCCUGUUCCUGUUGCUGCGGACCAAAGUCAACCCCUGUCAUGGUCAGUUAUGUGACCACAGAUAUGCCUGUCAACCACAUCAUGCAGAUGGGCCAGCCGGACCCCUCUGCAGAGGCCCAGCCUAUUAGUUCAGUCAUGUACGUGCUGCCAGCAGCACACGGCUCAGUCCCACCUGCGACUCUGCCAAAUUACGGUCACGUCCCCAAUGCAUCUCCACCAAUGUACAGUCCAGUACCAACUACACCUCCAUCCAACUACGACAAAGUCUCUGAUGCACUUCCACCAAAGUACUGUCCAGUCCCAACUGCUUCUCCACCAGCAUAUGAGAUGGACCUACUAGAUGAAAGUGAAAACGAAAACAGAUCCAAGAGCAACACCAACAUCAGAUGCCAAAACCCACUGAUGUGAUGCUAACCGUGCCAGUAUACCAGCAACAGCAGUAUGGCGUCUCCAGGUUCCUGAAGAUCAAGCCACUGGCUUUGGGGAUUUUGGAACUAUUGCUAGCCUUAUUGGGACUCUGUUUGACAAUCUGGAAUGUUCAUUUUUCUCUUCUCUGGUCACCAAUCAGCGUAAGUCGAUCAUUUUAAUAUCAAAACAAUAUUAUACAAUGAACAAAUACUGAAUUCUGUUCCAUUUCUGUUCUGCAGUUCAUUUUAACUGGAGUAUUAACAGUCUCGGCAGCAAGCACGUGUAAACCAUGUCUGGUUAGUGUCAGUUUAAAAAAAAAAACGGUAAUAUUUUUGCUUAAGGGGAACUUUAUGGGUUUUAUUUUAAAACAGAUCUUUUGUACUAUAGGUCAAAUCCUCACAAAUGCUCAGUUAUGUCAAUGCGGCAGCAGCUGCUCUGUCUCUCCACUUUCAUUUUUAUUACACUUGGGGUGUGACCUGCUUUCUCCUGAUGGCCUGUGAUACUCUCAUCCUCAUCUUCUCUGUCACUGUUGCUUUAACCUCCUGUUCCUGUUGCUGCAGACCAAAGUCAAGACAUGUCGAGAUCAGUUAUAUGAACGCAGAUUUGCCCGUCAACCAUAUUGUGCUCAUGGGCCAGCCGGACCCCUCUGCAGUGCUACAGUCCGUUAGUUCAGUCAUGUAUGUGCUGCCAGCAGUCCCACCUGCGCCUCUGCCAAAUUACAGUCCAGUACCAACUACACCUCCACCAGCCUACGACCAGGUCUCAGCUGCACCUCCACCAAACUACGGUCCAGUCCCGAGUGCUCCUCCACCAGCAUAUGCGGUAAUUAUGAGAAUUUCUGAGUAACGGUAGGAAAUCUAUUUGUAACUUUUAAUGGUUCUUACAAAUUAAAAUCCUAUAAAUAAUCUCCAUCUUCAAUCAUAAUAUACAAUUAUCGUUGUACUGCACAGCUCUGAUACACUGUGUUUUGUUAUUGCAGUAUGAAGAUUUACAGACCAGAAGAUGAACCGGAUCUCAGUUGGUGUUUACACGUUGGAUUAUGGC
ensembl:lncRNA uncharacterized LOC107588339